UGACUGUCUGUGAAUCACCCCUAUCUGCAUGUUGUGUCAUCGGUAACAAAAAAAAAUGAAAAAUAAAAGGUGUUCUUUGUUAUCAACCAUGAAAAUAGAAGGUAUAAAAAACCCCAUACAUGUUGUUCAUAAAAAAAACCAUACAUAUAUAUAGACUGCCUUGUUUGUUUCAUGGCUUCAUAAAAAGAGAUCAAUAAAAUUACUAUCUGAGUAGUUAUAUGUCUGCAAGUAAAUAAAUAGAGAUUUAAUAACAUUAAACGAGACCCA
rnacentral:lncRNA from 1 species